UACGUAGGGUGCAAGCGUUGUCCGGAAUUAUUGGGCGUAAAGAGCUCGUAGGCGGUUCGUCGCGUCGGCUGUGAAAUCCCGAGGCUCAACCUCGGGUCUGCAGUCGAUACGGGCGGACUGGAGUUCGGCAGGGGAGACUGGAAUUCCUGGUGUAGCGGUGAAAUGCGCAGAUAUUAGGAGGAACACCGGUGGCGAAGGCGGGUCUCUGGGCCGAUACUGACGCUGAGGAGCGAAAGCGUGGGGAGCGAACAGG
rnacentral:rRNA from 1 species